rnacentral:piRNA from 1 species
UCCAAAUUUUGGCUCCUAUGUGCUGGUCCUC